rnacentral:rRNA from 1 species
CAGCAGUAGGGAAUCUUCGGCAAUGGGCGAAAGCCUGACCGAGCAACGCCGCGUGAGUGAGGAAGGCCUUCGGGUUGUAAAACUCUGUUGUUUGGGAAGAAGGGAAAGGGUAGGCCCCUUAGGUGACGGUACCAAACGAGAAAGCCCCGGCUAACUACGUGCCAGCAGCCGCGGUAAUACGUAGGGGGCGAGCGUUGUCCGGAAUGAUUGGGCGUAAAGCGCGCGCAGGCGGUCUUUUAAGUCUGAUGUGAAAGCCCGCGGCUUAACUGCGGAGUGGCAUUGGAAACUGGGGGACUUGAGGCUAGGAGAGGGAAGUGGAAUUCCUGGUGUAGCGGUGAAAUGCGUAGAGAUCAGGAGGAAUACCGAUGGCGAAGGCAGCUUCCUGGCCUAGGGCUGACGCUCAUGCGCGAAAGCGUGGGGAGCAAACAGGAUUAGAUACCCUGGUAGUCCACGCCGUAAACGAUGAGUGCUAGGUGUGAGGGGUUUCAAGGCCCUUCGUGCCGCAGUUCACACAAUAAGCAC